AGACCAUGAUGAGGACACUUUCUUAGUAGGUCAUUGAACCUUUCCCAAGUUUCAUAUAAGGAUUCCACAUCUUCUUUUGAGUAU
rnacentral:snoRNA from 1 species